rnacentral:rRNA from 1 species
UACGUAGGGGGCUAGCGUUGUCCGGAAUCAUUGGGCGUAAAGCACGUGUAGGCGGUCCGGUAAGUCCGCUGUGAAAGUCGGGGGCUCAACCCUCGAAUGCCGGUGGAUACUGUCGGGCUAGAGUGCGGAAGAGGCGAGUGGAAUUCCUGGUGUAGCGGUGAAAUGCGCAGAUAUCAGGAGGAACACCAAUUGCGAAGGCAGCUCGCUGGGACGUUACUGACGCUGAGACGCGAAAGCGUGGGGAGCAAACAGG